GGGUGAGUAACGCGUGGAGAACCUAUCUUACAGUUGGGGAUAACCUGGCGAAAGUCGGACUAAUCCCGAAUACACUCUUUAAGUAGCAUUACUGAAAGAGGAAAGGUGCUACGGCAUCGCUGUAAGGUGGCUCCGCGUCGGAUUAGCUAGCUGGUGGGGUAACGGCUCACCAGGGCAACGAUCCGUAGCUGGUCUGAGAGGAUGAUCAGCCACACUGGGACUGAGACACGGCCCAGACUCCUAUGGGAGGCAGCAGUGGGGAAUCUUCCGCAAUGGGCGAAAGCCUGACGGAGCAACGCCGCGUGAACGAAGAAGGCCUUCGGGUCGUAAAGUUCUGUCCUCAGGGAAGAACCCUCAUGGUAGGGAAUGACCAUGAGCUGACGGUACCUGGGAAGGAAGCCCUGGCUAACUACGUGCCAGCAGCCGCGGUAAUACGUAGAGGGCAAGCGUUGUCCGGAAUCACUGGGCGUAAAGGGUACGUAGGCGGAUAUAUAAGUCAAAUGUGAAAGGCACCGGCUUAACCGGUGAGCUGCAUUUGAAACUGUAUAUCUUGAGUUCAGGAGAGGAGAGCGGAAUUCCUGGUGUAGCGGUGGAAUGCGUAGAUAUCAGGAAGAACACCAGUGGCGAAGGCGGCUCUCUGGCCUGAAACUGACGCUCUGGUACGAAAGCUGGGGUAGCAAACGGGAUUAGAUACCCCGGUAGUCCCAGCCGUAAACGAUGGACACUAGGUGUUGGGGGUCCGAAUCCUUCAGUGCCGAAGUUAACGCAUUAAGUGUCCCGCCUGGGGAGUACGGUCGCAAGACUGAAACUCAAAGGAA
rnacentral:rRNA from 1 species